rnacentral:rRNA from 1 species
AGAAUCAACGCUGGCGGCGUGCCUAACACAUGCAAGUCGCACGAGAAAGGGACUUCGAUCCUGAGUAAAGUGGCGCACGGGUGAGUAACACGUGAAUAAUCUACCUCCGAGUGGGGAAUAACUGAGAGAAAUCUUAGCUAAUACCGCAUAACACUUACGAGUCAAAGCAGCAAUGCGCUUGGAGAGGAGUUCGCGGCAGAUUAGUUAGUUGGCGGGGUAAUGGCCCACCAAGACGAUGAUCUGUA